rnacentral:rRNA from 1 species
UGCCUAACACAUGCAAGUCGAACGGCAGCACAGGUAGCAAUACCGGGUGGCGAGUGGCGGACGGGUGAGUAAAGCAUCGGGAUCUACCCUGACGUGGGGGAUAACCUCGGGAAACCGGGACUAAUACCGCAUACGUCCUACGGGAGAAAGCGGGGGACCUUCGGGCCUCGCGCGGCAGGACGAACCGAUGUGCGAUUAGCUAGUUGGCGGGGUAACGGCCCACCAAGGCGACGAUCGCUAGCUGGUCUGAGAGGAUGAUCAGCCACACUGGGACUGAGACACGGCCCAGACUCCUACGGGAGGCAGCAGUGGGGAAUUUUGGACAAUGGGGGCAACCCUGAUCCAGCAAUGCCGCGUGAGUGAAGAAGGCCUUCGGGUUGUAAAGCUC